CCUACGGGUGGCUGCAGUAGGGAAUCUUCCGCAAUGGACGAAAGUCUGACGGAGCAACGCCGCGUGAGUGAUGAAGGUUUUCGGAUCGUAAAACUCUGUUGUUAGGGAAGAACAAGUACCGGAGUAACUGCCGGUACCUUGACGGUACCUAACCAGAAAGCCACGGCUAACUACGUGCCAGCAGCCGCGGUAAUACGUAGGUGGCAAGCGUUGUCCGGAAUUAUUGGGCGUAAAGCGCGCGCAGGUGGUCUCUUAAGUCUGAUGUGAAAGCCCCCGGCUCAACCGGGGAGGGUCAUUGGAAACUGGGAGACUUGAGUGCAGGAGAGAAGAGUGGAAUUCCACGUGUAGCGGUGAAAUGCGUAGAGAUGUGGAGGAACACCAGUGGCGAAGGCGACUCUUUGGCCUGUAACUGACACUGAGGCGCGAAAGCGUGGGGAGCA
rnacentral:rRNA from 1 species